ensembl:rRNA 5S_rRNA 5S ribosomal RNA
GUCUACGGCCAUGCCCCCCUGAACAAGUGCGAUCCUGUCUGAUCUCGGAAGCUAAGCAGGAUUGGGGCUGGUUAGUACUUGGUUAGGAGACCACCUAGGAAGACCAAGUGCUGUAGGCG